GACGAACGCUGGCGGCGUGCUUAACACAUGCAAGUCGAACGGAAAGGCCCUGCUUGCAGGGUACUCGAGUGGCGAACGGGUGAGUAACACGUGGGUGAUCUGCCCUGCACUUCGGGAUAAGCCUGGGAAACUGGGUCUAAUACCGGAUAGGAGCCAUUUUUAGUGUGAUGGUUGGAAAGUUUUUUCGGUGUAGGAUGAGCUCGCGGCCUAUCAGCUUGUUGGUGGGGUAAUGGCCUACCAAGGCGGCGACGGGUAGCCGGCCUGAGAGGGUGGACGGCCACAUUGGGACUGAGAUGCGGCCCAGACUCCUACGGGAGGCAGCAGUGGGGAAUAUUGCACAAUGGGCGCAAGCCUGAUGCAGCGACGCCGCGUGGGGGAUGACGGCCUUCGGGUUGUAAACUCCUUUCGCUAGGGACGAAGCUUUUUGUGACGGUACCUAGAUAAGAAGCACCGGCUAACUACGUG
rnacentral:rRNA from 1 species